UAAUCAGACCCAUCGAAAAAUUUUAAUACUUACAGAUUUAUUUAUUUUUUUGACGUUGCCCCACAUUAGGAUUUUCUCCCGUGUCGUGGGUGCGUUUACAAACAUACAAGUUCACAUACACAUGACACCCAGACUCAGAACAACAAUUUGUGGAUCACACAAAGAGUUGCUCCAUGCGGGAAUCGAACCCGCUACCCGUUGCGCGGCAGCCAGUUGCCCAGCCACCGCACAAACCGUGCAGUUAUUUAAGAGUUUAUUACAACAAUGAAUGAUACCUACCUAAAUAUAACUUGUUCGAUAUUAGCACAAACAGAACAACGAACUUUUUUAAAAUAACUUAUUUUGUACUAAUAGCUAUUGUUUACGGAUAUAGAUAAUGCAAUUAUAUCAUUUGCCUCUUUACUGAUAUAAGUCUGUAUAAAUAGGGAAUGCGUUCUUCAUAAUUCGUAGUAUCAGUGCAGUCUCGAGACAAGUGGACAUACAAUAAUUAUACAAAUAUGAAGUUCUACCUCUUUGCUAUUGUUAUGCUUAUGGCAGUAGUUUCAGUGGUACUGGCUGCUCCUGGUGGACUGAUAGUUCCACCAUGUCCAUUAAGAAACCAACGUGAUCGUGCCGGAAAUUGCUAUGACCCUGAUAAUUAGUACAGAGUUGUCCGACAUAUUGUAUCAUUGACAACAGUUAUGAAGAAGAUGUGAUCAAACCCUUCACGGCUCACAACAAAUCACAGAAUUGUAACAUCAACAACAGUUUCUAAAAAUGUCAUUACUCAAAUAAAUGUACACAUUUUA